rnacentral:rRNA from 1 species
GAUGAGUUGUGUUUAGGGGUGAAAGGCCAAUCAAACCGGGAAAUAGCUGGUUCUCCGCGAAAUCUAUUUAGGUAGAGCGUCGACCGAAUACCCCAGGGGGUAGAGCACUGGAUGGGCUAGGGGGAUUUACCAUCUUACCAAACCUAACCAAACUCCGAAUACCCAAGAGUACUAUCCGGGAGACAGACGGCGGGUGCUAAGGUCCGUCGUCAAAAGGGAAACAGCCCUGACCUACAGCUAAGGUCCCCAAGUCAUCACUAAGUGGGAAAGCAUGUGGAACUUCCAAAACAACCAGGAGGUUGGCUUAGAAGCAGCCAUCCUUUAAAGAAAGCGUAACAGCUCACUGAUCAAGCGAUCCUGCGCGGAAAAUGUAACGGGGCUCAAGCCGUGCGCCGAAGAUAUGGGUUUGCAGUUUACUGCAAGCGGUAGCGGAGCGUUCCGUAGGCCGGUGAAGGUCAGGCGUGAGCCUGGCUGGAGGUAUCGGAAGUGAGAAUGCUGACAUGAGUAACGAUAAGAGUGUGAGAGACACUCUCGCCGAAAGACCAAGGGUUCCUGCGUAAAGCUAAUCUGCGCAGGGUUAGUCGGCCCCUAAGGCGAGGCUGAAAAGCGUAGUCGAUGGGAAGCAGGUAAAUAUUCCUGCACCAGCUGGAAGUGACGGAUGGCUUAACUCGUACCCACUUAUUGGAUUGUGUGUGCGGGGGCGUUGUCCCAGGAAAUAACUCCAGCAGAGACCGUACCCGAAACCGACACAGGUGGUCAGGUAGAG